UGAGGAAUAUUGGUCAAUGGUCGAGAGACUGAACCAGCCAAGCCGCGUGAAGGAUGAAGGCGCUAAGCGUCGUAAACUUCUUUUGUCGGGGAACAAACGGAGGUACGUGUACCUUUUUGAGUGUACCCGAAGAAAAAGCAUCGGCUAACUCCGUGCCAGCAGCCGCGGUAAUACGGAGGAUGCGAGCGUUAUCCGGAUUUAUUGGGUUUAAAGGGUGCGCAGGCGGGCUGUUAAGUCAGCGGUAAAAGCCCGGGGCUCAACCCCGGCGAGCCGUUGAAACUGGCAGUCUUGAGUUGGAGAGAAGUAUGCGGAAUGCGCAGUGUAGCGGUGAAAUGCUUAGAUAUUGCGCAGAACUCCGAUUGCGAAGGCAGCAUACCGGCUCCAUACUGACGCUCAGGCACGAAAGUGCGGGGAUCGAACAGG
rnacentral:rRNA from 1 species